rnacentral:rRNA from 1 species
GACGAACGCUGGCGGCGUGCUUAACACAUGCAAGUCGAACGAGGUCCAUGGUGCUUGCACCGGAAGACCUAGUGGCGAACGGGUGAGGAACACGUGAGAAACCUGCCCCGGACUUCGGGAUAACAGUUGGAAACGACUGCUAAUACCGAAUACCGCUGCGGAGUCGCAUGGCUCUGCAACGAAAGAAUUUCGGUCCGGGAGGGUCCCGCGGCCUAUCAGCUUGUUGGUGGGGUGAUGGCCUACCAAGGCGACGACGGGUAGCCGGCCUGAGAGGGUGACCGGCCACACUGGGACUGAGAUACGGCCCAGACUCCUACGGGAGGCAGCAGUGAGGAAUAUUGCACAAUGGGCGCAAGCCUGAUGCAGCGACGCCGCGUGAGGGAUGACGGCCUUCGGGUUGUAAACCUCUUUCAGCACCGACGAAGCGCAAGUGACGGUAGGUGCAGAAGAAGGACCGGCCAACUACGUGCCAGCCGCCGCAGUAA